rfam:Colinus virginianus strain Texas jcf7180006227125, whole genome shotgun sequence.
AUGGCGGUGAUGAUUGGCGCAGGGGUACGGACCUCAGCUGGAUCAUGGGGGCUGAAUGCAGACUGUUGGUUUCAGUGCAGCUGGCACGUGGCUGGCUCACUGGGAACAGGUUUGCAUGACAACUUCGCCAAGGACUGAGCCAU